AUACGGAGGGUGCAAGCGUUGUUCGGAAUUACUGGGCGUAAAGCGCGUGUAGGCGGCUUGGCAAGUCGGUUGUGAAAGCCCGGGGCCCAACCCCGGAACUGCACCCGAUACUGCCUGGCUGGAGUCCCGGAGAGGAUGGCGGAAUUUCCGGUGUAGAGGUGAAAUUCGUAGAUAUCGGAAGGAACACCAGUGGCGAAGGCGGCCAUCUGGACGGUGACUGACGCUGAGACGCGAAAGCGUGGGGAGCAAACAGGAUUAGAUACCCCAGUAGUCC
rnacentral:rRNA from 1 species